AGAUUUUGGCGGCGAUGAUCCAGAGACGAAGUUUGGUCGCUCACCCGAAGAAAAUCGGGUAAGUCUUUGGUAAGCCAGUAGCGAAACCGGCCUGAGGGGCC
rnacentral:ncRNA from 20 species